rnacentral:rRNA from 1 species
AUUGAACGCUGGCGGCAUGCCUUACACAUGCAAGUCGAACGGUAACAGGUUAAGCUGACGAGUGGCGAACGGGUGAGUAAUGUAUCGGAACGUGCCCAGUCGUGGGGGAUAACUGCUCGAAAGAGCAGCUAAUACCGCAUACGACCUGAGGGUGAAAGCGGGGGAUCGCAAGACCUCGCGCGAUUGGAGCGGCCGGUAUCAGAUUAGGUAGUUGGUGAGGUAAAGGCUCACCAAGCCGACGAUCUGUAGCUGGUCUGAGAGGACGACCAGCCACACUGGGACUGAGACACGGCCCAGACUCCUACGGGAGGCAGCAGUGGGGAAUUUUGGACAAUGGGCGCAAGCCUGAUCCAGCCAUGCCGCGUGCGGGAAGAAGGCCUUCGGGUUGUAAACCGCUUUUGUCAGGGAAGAAAAGGUUCUGGCUAAUACCUGGGACUCAUGACGGUACCUGAAGAAUAAGCACCGGCUAACUACGUG